rnacentral:ncRNA from 1 species
GUGGAUCGCCCACCGGCGGUUCCCCGGACGAGACGCGCCGUACCCGGAACGCCAAGACGACGCCCG